GGUUGACCUCGGAUCAGGUAGGAAUACCCGCUGAACUUAAGCAUAUCAAUAAGCGGAGGAAAA
rnacentral:rRNA from 1 species